rnacentral:lncRNA from 1 species
AAAUAUUACUCCUUGCGCUAGCACGUCGUCCCUGCACUUCCCUUUCAGCUUUACAAGCAAGAUGAAACAAACAGGUUACAUUAUUGUAUUCUUUGUAAGCGAGGAUGUGACAAACGGGUUACAUUAUUGUAUUCUUUGUGCUGGUCCUAGGCUAGACCGUGCUAGAGACGCGAGCCUGGACACAAAGGAAAACCACAUCACACCCCCGAAAACAAGGUGGAAGAAACCUAAAAUCAAUAUGAAAAACAGCCCCUUUUUUUUCUUUUGAAUCUUUUCUCUUUUCUUUUUUUUUCUUUUUUUUGGGCAACCUCAAAAACUGAUUAUAUGAACAAAGGAAUACAAAAGAGCAAUUCGCUACACACACACACUCUCUCUCUCUCUCUCUAGAGUAAGGCCGAACAAGUAUGGAGUUAUCUUUCUUUUUGGAUCACAGUUCAAUUCGGACUUCACAACAGAUUCGACAGAGAGAAGAUAUGGUAAUACUCGGCUGUGUAUAGAUGGUGACAAGAACUCGAAACUCUAAAGGACUAGACACUAAGACCAGCAACUCGACACAAACCGAAGCAACGCAAAUUCAACAAGCCCUAACUAAAACGGUACUAGCCAAGGCACAAAGGUUUAAUAGGAUUAUGUAAAAACUAAUCUACUAUAUUUUUUUUUGGCUUUUCUGGACUAUAGGAAAUUAAUUAAAACAGCAAAGGAUUAGAAGUCUCUCACCGAAGAACCUUGCUCUGAUUACCAACUGAUGCGAACCCGCUAGGGUUUUUGGCCUGAUCUUUCGAUUAGAGGCGCUAGAUAACUCGAUUAGUGGAUGGAGAUGACGUUCACGGCCUGACUACAGCCCUCAAGACCGCGCCUUAGCAACCGAUACACCACGUCCAACAGCCGUCACGAUCUUGUGGAGCGCGACAACCAGCCCCUAGGGCUCCCGUCCUGCAAGCAAUCGAAGAACUAGCAAGAACGAGGAAACAAGCACUAAAUUUGCAAGAUGAAUUGAAGGUUUCAAACUGAAUCUCAAUCAACAAUGGGGUUCCGAAGACAAGGAGACAGGCGGCUGAUCCUGCACGCGCGCCUACAAGCAAGUAGCGAAGGCUAAACUUGAUCUAAACAAAACCCAGUUGUUCAUGGCGGCUCUAGAUGUAAAUAAAUAGAGGGGAGGGCGACCAAAGGGGUGCUAGAGUCAUCCUCCAACCCUAGGACGCGUCCCUAAUGGACUCAACUUGAUACAUGGGCCAUUGGUCCAAAAUAGGGUGACGCAGCACCAAAACAGAAAAAGAUGUCGGUACAAAAACAAGGACUGCGCCCGACUCAUAAGCUGCAUAGAUAUGUGGUUGGACCCAUUGGAAAGUAGAUUUCAUGAGCUUUCCAACAAGUAUAGGAACGUCCCAGUUGGAGUCCAUAUGACACCGUGGUGAUCCAUACAAGUUAGAGUUAUUUUCCAGUCCGAAUCCAACUCCCAAAACGUGUUGGGUUUGGACUCUUUGUUUCCUUGCUUUAGAAGCGACGUGGUAACUUGAUAGAGGAUGUUGUGGAGGCUUGGACCUGAUCUCCAAUCACCUUUGUUAUGUUAUCACUCUUCCCAUAUGCAAUCAGCCCUUGAAGUUGGUGUUGCCUCAAAUUCUGAAUGCAGUUGAACCUUCCCUUGCUGAUCUUGUCCAUUAUUCCUGAGCAACACGAAAGUGCACGUGUCUCUAUUGUCUAAAUAUGAUUGACAAGAGUUUAAAACUGAACUUACUUGAAGGUUGAGUUGACGGGCACGAGCAAGAGUAAGAGGACCAGCUAUAGGUUGUGUCGGAGAGGAUGUAGGACCAGCUAUAGGUUGUGUCGGAGAGGAUGUAUCGCUGGUGUUGAUGUCCUCAUCAACUGUGCACCUAUCUUGCACCGAAACUAACACUGUCUCUAAACGGACCGAAGUGAGAUUCCAUAUGACACAUGUCAUUUAGGAGUUCCAUGUGGUGCGUCCAAAUUGAUUUCUGAGCAUAUGGAAUGUUCCAUGCAAAUCGUGCACCUAUCUUGCAUCAAGAAUAGCAUUAUCUCUAAACAGACCGAACCGAGCCUCCACUUGAGCCUCUUCUCCUAGGAGUACCAACAGGUGCUUCCAAAAUGGUUUCUUAGACUUCGGUGCAUUAGGCGCAAACCGUGCACAUAUCUUGCACCGAAGCUAAUAAUGUCUCUAAGCACACCAAACAGAGAUUCCAUACGACACACGUCAUCAAGCAUAUGGUAUGUUACAUGCAAAUCAUGCACCUAUCUUGCAUCAAGAUUAGCACUAUCUCCAAAUAGAUAAAACCAAGCUUCCACUUGAGCCUCUUCACCAAAGAUCCAACAGGUGCUUCCAAAAUGGUUUCUUAGACUAUGGGGUAUUACGCGCAAACCAUGCACAUAUCUUGCACCGAAACGAACACUGUUUCUAGACAGACCAAAGUGAGAUUCCAUAUGACACAUGUCAUCAAGGAGUUCCGUCGGGUGCAUCCAAAUUGAUUUCCAAGCAUAUGGUAUGUUCCAUGAGAACCGUGCACCUAUCUGGCAUCAAAAUUAGCACUAUCUCCAAACAGACCGAACCGAGCUUCCACUUGAGCCUCUUCAUCUAGGAGUACAAACAGGUGCAUCAAAAAUGGUUUCUUAGACUAUGGUGUAUUAGGCACAAACUAUGCACCUAUCUUGCACCAAAACUAACAUUGUCUCCAAACAGACCGAAGCGAGAUUCCAUAUGAUACACAUCAUCUAGGAGUUCCAUUGGGUGCGUCCAAAUUAAUUUCUUAACAUAUGGUAUAUUCCAUGCAAACUGUGGAACUAUCUUGCAUCAAGAUUAGCACUAUAUCCGAACAGACCAAAUCGGCUAUGAGUACCAUCGGGUGCGUCUAAAAUGGUUUCUUAGCCUAUGGUGCAUUAGGCGUAAACUAUGCACAUAUCUUGCACCGAAAUGAACACUGUUUCUAAACGAACCAAAUCAAGAUUCCAUAUGACACAUGUCAUCAUGGAGUUCCGUCGUGUGCAUCCAAAUUGAUUUCCAAGCAUACGGUAUGUUUCAUGCAAACCGUGCACCUAUUUUGCAUCAAGAUUAGCACUAUCUCCAAACAGACCGAACCGAGCUUCCAGCUGAGCCUCUUCAUCUAGGAGUACCAUCGGGUGCGUCCAAAAUGGUUUCUUAUUAUAUGGUGCAUUAGGUGCAAACCGUGCACUUAUCUUGCACCAAAACUAACACUGUCUCUAAACAGACCAAAGUGAGAUUCCAUAUGACAAAUAUCAUCUAGGAGUUCCAUCUGGUGCGUCCAAAUUGAUUUCUAAGCAUAUGGUAUGUUCCAUGCAAAUCAUGCACCUAUCUUGCAUCAAGAUUAGCACUAUCUCCAAACAGAUCGAACCGAGCAUCCACUUGAGCCCCUUCACCUAGGAGUACCAACAAGUGCGUCCAAAUGGUUUCUUAGACUAUGGUGCAUUAGGUGCAAACUGUGCACCUAUCUUGCACCGAAACUAACAAUGUCUCCAAAUGACAGAAGCGAGAUUUCAUAUGACACACAUCAUCAAGGACUUCUAUCGGGUGCAUCCAAAUUCAUUUCCAAGCAUAUGGUAUGUUCCAUGCAAACCAUGCACCUACCUUGCAUAAGGAUUAGCACUAUCUCCAAACUGACCGAACCAAGCUUCCACUUGAGCCUCUUCACCUAGGAGUACCAAACAGUGUGUCCAAAUUGGUUUCUUAGACUAUGGUGAAUUAGGUGCAAACUGUGCACCUAUCUUGCACUAAAACCUACAAUGUCUACAAACAGACCGAGCCAAGAUUCCAUACGACACACGUCAUCUAGGAGUUCCAUUGGGUGUGUCCAAAUUGAUUUCUAAGCAUAUGGUAUGUUCCUUGUAAAUCAUGCACCUAUCUUGCAUCAAGAUUAGCACUAUCUCCAAACAGAUCAAACCGAGCUUCCACUUGAGUCUCUUCAUCGAAGUACCAACAGGUGCUUUGAAAAUGGUUUUUAGACUAUGGUGCAUUAUUCAAAAACCAUGCACAUAUCUUGCACCGAAACUAACACUGUUUCUAAACAGACCAAAGCGAGAUUCCAUAUGACACAUGUCAUCAAGGAGUUCUAUCGGGUGCAUCCAUAUUGAUUUCCAAGCAUAUGGUAUGUUCCAUGCAAACUGUGUACUUAUCUUGCAUCAAGAUUAGCACUAUCUCUAGACAGACCGAACCGAGCUUCCACUUGAGCCUCUUUUAUCUCGGAGUACAAAAAGGGGCGUCAAAAAUAGUUUUUUAGACUAUGGUGCAUUAGGCACAAACUAUGCACCUAUCUUGCCCCGAAACUAACAUUGUCUCCAAACAGACCGAAGCGAGAUUCCAUAUGACACACGUCAUCUAGGAGUUCCAUUGGGUGCGACCAAAUUAAUUUCAUAACAUAUGGUACGUUCCAUGCAAACUGUGCAACUAUCUUGCAUCAAGAUUAGCACUAUAUCUGAGUAGACCAAAUCGAGCCUCCACUUGAGCCUUUUCAACUACGAGUACCAUCGGGUGGGUCUAAAAUAGUUUCUUAGCCUAUGGUGCAUUAGGCGUAAACUAUGCACAUAUCUUCUACCAAAACUAACACUGUCUCUAAACGAACCAAAUCAAGAUUCCAUAUGACACACAUCAUCAAGGAGUUAUAUCAGGUGAGUCCUAAUUGAUUUCUAAGCAUACCGUAUGUUCCAUGCAAACCGUGCAUCUAUCUUGCAUCAAACCGAGCUUUCACUUGAGCCCCUUUACAUAGGAGUACCAUCGGGUGUGUCCAAAAUGGUUUUUUAUCCUAUGGUGCAUUAGGUGCAAACUGUGCACCUAUCUUGCACCGAAACUAACACUAUCUCUAAACAGACCGAAGUGAGAUUCCAUAUGACACAUGUCAUCUAGGAGUUCCAUCUGGUGCGUCCAAAUUGAUUUCUGAGCAUAUGGUAUGUUCCAUGCAAAUCGUGCACCUAUCUUGCAUCAAGAAUAGCACUAUCUCUAAACAGACCAAAUCGAGCCUCCACUUGAGCCUCUUCACCUACGAGUACCAACAGGUGCUUCCAAAAUGGUUUCUUAGACUUUGGUGCAUUAGGCGCAAACCGUGCACAUAUCUUGACCCGAAACUAGUAAUGUCUCUAAGCACACCAAAGAGAGAUUCCAUAUGACACACGUCAUCAAGCAUAUGGGUUGUUCCUUGCAAAUCAUGCACCUAUCUUGUAUCAAGAUUAGCACUAUCUCCAAACAGAUAAAACCAAGCUUCCACCUGAGCCUCUUCACCAAAGAUCCAACAGGUGCUUCCAAAAUGGUUUCUUAGACUAUGGUGCAUUAGGCGCAAACCAUGCACAUAUCUUGCACUGAAAGAAACACUGUUUCUAGACACACCAAAGUGAGAUGCCAUAUGACACAUGUCAUCAAGGAGUUCCGUCGGGUGCAUCCAAAUUGAUUUCCAAGCAUAUGUUAUGUUCCAUGCAAACCGUGCACCUAUCUUGCAUCAAGAUUAGCAUUAUCUCCAAACAGACCGAACCGAGCAUCCACUUGAGCCUCUUCAUCUAGGAGUACAAACAAGUGCAUCAAAAAUGGUUUCUUAGACUAUGGUGCAUUAGGCACAAACUAUGCACCUAUCUUGCCCCGAAACUAACAUUGUCUCCAAACAGACCGAAGCGAGAUUCCAUAUGACACACGUCAUCUAGGAGUUCCAUUGGGUGCGUCCAAAUUAAUUUCAUAACAUAUGAUACGUUCCAUGCAAACUGUGCAACUAUCUUGCAUCAAGAUUAGCACUAUAUCCGAGCAGACCAAAUCGAGCCUCCACUUGAGCCUCUUCAACUACGAGUACCAUCGGGUGCGUCUAAAAUAGUUUCUUAGCCUAUGGUGCAUUAGGCGUAAACCGUGCACAUAUCUUCUACCAAAACUAACACUGUCUCUAAACGAACCGAAGCAAGAUUCCAUAUGACACACUGAAAUCCCAAGUUUGUGAUGCGAACCCGCUAGGGUUUUUUGCUCGAUCUUUUGAUGAUAGACGGGGAUAACUCGAUUGGUGAAUGGAGAUGACGUUCACGGCCCGACUACAGCCCUCAAGACCGCGCCUUAGCAACCGAUACACCACGUCCAAUAGCCGUCACGAUCUUGUGGAGCGCGACAACCAGCCCCUAGGGCUCCCGUCCUGCAAGCAAUCGAAGAACUAGCAAGAACGAGGAAACAAGCACUGAAUUUGCAAGAUGAAUUGAAGGUUUCAAAUUGAAUCUGAAUCAACAAUGGGGUUCCGAAGACAAGGAGACGGGCGGCUGAUCCUGCACGCGCGCCUACAAGCAAGUAGCGAAGGCUAAACUUGAUCUAAACAAAACCCAACCACCAUGGCGGCUCUAGAGGGAUAUAAGUAAAUGGAUUGAUGACCAAAGAGGUGUUGGGGUCGUCCUCCAACCCUAGGACGCAUCUCUAAUGGACCCAACUUGAUACAUGGGCCAUCUGCCCAAAAUGAGGUGACGCAGCACCCUGGACAGCAAGACCUAUCGACAGUAAUUGGAUCAUUGCCGCUGCUGCCGAACAGGUAUUGACGUGGGACUUGAUUCAUAUGAAAGAAGACUUGAUAAGCUUUCCAACAAGUCCUGAAGCGCCUGAAUCCGAAUCCGUAUGCAACUGUGGUAACGGUCACAAGUUGGCGCUUUGCUGCUGUCCGAAUCCAGCGAGCGUGAGUCCUUCUCCCUUUCGGUCUUCUCCUUGGUUCCUAAUCAAAACAAGAGUGCACGUGUUUCCAUUGUCUAAACAAGAUGGACACAAGCUUAUCAAGGAACUCACUUGAUUAUUAAGUUGACGAACACGAGCACGAGUAAGAGGACCAGCUAUAGGUUGUGUCGGAGAGGAUGUAUCGCUGGUGUUGAUGUCCUCAUCAUCCUCCCUUUCUUGCAUUUGAGUCGUCCUCGACUCAAGUUCAUCUUCCUCACCCAAAUAAGGCUUCAAAUGUGCAAUGUUAAAUGUGGGACUAACCCCAAAAUCUGCAGGAAGAUCAAGCUUAUAUGCAUUCUCAUUAAUUUGGACCAUCAGCUCUAGGCAUCAAUUUGGAUUUUCUUAGUUCUGGAAAUCUAUCUUUUCGCAAAUGCAACCAAACCAAAUCCCCAGGUUCCAGAAUCAAUUGCUUUCUACCUUUAUCUCCAGCGCAUUUAUACUUAGCAUUCAUGCGCUCUAUGUUUUGUUUAGUGGCUUCAUGCAAUUGUAACAUCAAAUCAGCACGUUGCUUAGCAUCAAAAUUUAUUUUUUUAGAACUUGGCAAAGGCACUAAAUCAAUAGGAGCACGUGGCAAGAAGCCAUAGACAAUCUCAAAAGGACACAUUUUUGUAGUAGAAUGCAAUGAACGAUUAUAGGCGAACUCAAUAUGAGGCAAACAUUCUUCCCACAUCUUAAUAUUCUUCUUUAAAACAGCCCUUAACAUAGUGGAUAAAGUUCUAUUAACAACUUCAGUUUGACCAUCAGUUUGGAGAUGACAAGUGGUGGAAAAUAAAAGCUUAGUCCCCAAUUUGAACCACAAAGUCUUCCAAAAAUGACUAAGAAAUUUAGCAUCACGAUCAGAAACAAUUGUGUUGGGCACACCAUGUAAGCGAACAAUUUCUCGAAAGAACAAAUCAGCAAUAUUUGUAGCAUCAUCAGUUUUAUGACAUGGUAUGAAAUGUGCCAUCUUAGAAAAUCUAUCAACAACCACAAACACACUAUCACGUCCCCUCCUAGUCCUUGGUAGUCCCAACACAAAAUCCAUAGAUAUAUCCUCCCAAGGAGCAUUAGGAACAGGAAGAGGUAAAUACAAACCAUGGGGAUUUAACCGUGACUUUGCCUUUUGACAUGUUGUGCAACGAGCAACAAACCUCUCCACAUCUCUCUUCAUCCUUGGCCAAAAGAAAUGACCAGCAAGUAUGUCCUCGGUCUUCUUUGCUCCAAAAUGUCCCAUCAAGCCACCUCCAUGCGCUUCCUGCAACAACAACAAAUGAACAAAGCUAGCUGGAAUGCAUAGCUUGUUAGCUCUAAACACAAACCCAUCACUAACGAUGAAUUUAUUCCACCCUUUUCCAUCUUUACAAUGCAGCAACACGUCUCUAAAAUCAGCAUCAUGAACAUAUUGGUCUUUAAUUGUUUCUAACCCAAAUAUCUUGUAAUCAAGUUGAUUCAGCAAAGUAUAUCUCCGUGAUAAAGCAUCAGCAAUAAUAUUUUCCUUCCCUUUCUUGUGCUUAAUAAUAUAAGGAAAAGAUUCAAUAAAUUCAACCCAUUUUGCAUGCCUACGAUUCAGUUUUCCUUGACUACGAAUAUGUUUCAAAAAUUCAUGAUCAGAAUGGAUAAUAAACUCUUUGGACCACAAAUAAUGCUGCCAUGUCUCUAAUGUUCUAACAAGAGCAUAGAGUUCUUUAUCAUAAGUUGAAUAAUUAAGAACAGGCCCACUCAAUUUCUCACUAAAAUAUGCAAUAGGUUUUCCCUCUUGUAAUAAAACACCUCCCAAACCAAUUCCACUAGCAUCACAUUGAGGCUCAAAAGUCUUAUUAAAAUCAGGAAGUUGUAGGAGAGGUGCAUGAGUUAACUUAUCUUUCAACAUGUUGAAUGAAUUCUCUUGUGCUUUGCCCCAAUCAAAAGGCACCCCCUUCUUUGUAAGCUCAUUCAAUGGUGCAGCAAUGGUGCUGAAAUCCUUCACAAAACGGCGAUAGAAUCCAGCAAGUCCUAGGAAACUCUGCACCUGGGUGAUAGUAUUUGGGACCGGCCAUCCCUGUAUAGCUUCCACCUUGGCUUGAUCAACCUCAAUUCCCUGUGGAGUCACAACAUAACCAAGAAAAGACACUCGAUCGGUGCAAAAGGUGCACUUCUCAAGGUUACCAAAUAAACGUGUCUCGCGUAGUGCAUUAAAAACAACACGUAAAUGAUCAAGAUGUUCAUCCAAUGAUUUGCUAUAAAUCAAUAUGUCAUCAAAAUAUACGACAACAAAUUUCCCAAUGAAAGCACGCAAAACCUCGUUCAUUAAUCUCAUGAAAGUACUAGGUGCAUUAGUUAACCCAAAAGGCAUGACUAACCACUCAUACAAACCGAACUUAGUUUUGAAAGCAGUUUUCCAUUCAUCUCCCAAUUUCAUACGAAUCUGGUGGUACCCACUACGUAAAUCAACUUUUGAAAACACAACAGCACCACUCAGCUCAUCUAGCAUAUCAUCUAAUCGUGGAAUAGGGUGUUGAUAUCGAAUGGUGAUAUUAUUAAUAGCUCUACAAUCAACACACAUACGCCAUGUUCCAUCUUUCUUAGGCACUAAAAUUACUGGAACAGCACAAGGACUAAGAGAUUCUCGGACAUAACCUUUGUCUAGUAGUUCUUGUACUUGUCGCUGAAUUUCCUUUGUUUCCUCCGGGUUUGUCCUGUAUGAUGCAUGAUUUGGCAAAACUGCUCCAGGAAUAAGAUCAAUUUGGUGCUCAAUCCCACGUAGUGGAGGCAGCCCCGCUGGUACCUCACUUGGAAACACAUCAGAAUACUCCUGCAAAAUGUUAGCAACAGCAUGGGGCAAAGAACAUUGCAUAUCCUCAAUUGAAAUCAAAGCAUCCUUGCAUAUCAAAGCAUAAGCAACAGAAGUGGAUGCAUUGAACUCAUUAAUAUCUGAUUUGGUAGCUAUCAUACAACGUCCUUUCAGUUUUAUCUCAUCUUUGUUACCAAUUACAGAUUUAUCAUUUUUAUUGCUCUCGCUCUUUGCUUUAGUAGCCCUAGCAACAUCAAUUUGCAUAAUAGUUUCAGGGGACAUAGGAUGCAACACAAUUUUGCGAUCAUGGUAUAGAAAAGAAUACUGAUUUGAUAUACCAUGAUGCAUAGAAUCUCUAUCAAAUUGCCAAGGUCUACCUAGCAGAAUGUUACAAGCUUGCAUAGGCACAACAUCACAUUCAACAAUAUCUUUGUAGGAUCCGAUGGAAAAAUUAAUUCUCACAAGUCUAGUUACCUUUGCCUUACCACUGUUGUUCAGCCAUUGGAUGUAGUAGGGAUGCGGGUGUGGUUUGGUGUUGAGGGCAAGCUUCUGCACCAUAUCGCUGCUUGCCAAGUUGUUGCAGCUACCUCCAUCAAUGAUCAUGCGACAAGAACGCUCUUUGAUGAUACACUUUGUUUGGAAUAAAAUGUGUCGCUGAUUUUGCUCCGCCAUCUCCAUUUGUGCACUAAGCACUCGAUGCACGAUCAAGCUCUCAUAGUGGUCCGCUUCACCUGCAUUAAUAUGUUCUUCUAUUGGAUCUUCAUUACCUGCAUGGUCAGUCGCAAGCAGUGCAAGUGUAUCCUCAUCAAAAUCACUAGCAGAUGAGUACUCACCAUCAUCCCUGACAAUCAUAACUCGCUUGUUUGGACAGUCACGCAUCAUGUGCCCAUAUCCCUUGCACCGGUGACAUUGUAUGUUGCUUGUUCUACCUGUCGAUGCCACGGAUGAAGUACUCGAAGCAGGCUUUUGCAUCGUCUUCGCAACUGAAUUGGUGGGGGCAUCUCGAGUCUUGUUACUAGAUGAUGGAGUAGAAAUACGUGUAGAUGGAGUUGAAGCCAUGCGUUGCUGCCAUGAAUUAGCCUUCCCUGCAGAAAUAUUACUCCUUACGCUAGCACGUCGUCCCUGCACUUCCCUUUUAGCUUUACAAGCAAGAUGAAACAAAUGGGUUACAUUAUUGUAUUCUUUGUAAGCGAGGAUGUCCUGAAUUUCCCGAUUUAACCCACCCAAAAAUCUAGCCAUAGCCGGUUCCUCAUCCUCCUCUAGGUUACAACGCAACAUACCCGUUUGUAAUUCCUGAUAAUAUUCUUCUACACUUUUAGCACCUUGUCUUAAUUGCUGCAACUUAUUUAUCAUAUCACGCGCACAGUAAGAUGGAACAAAUCUAGCUCUCAUGGCCCUUUUCAGCGCAUCCCAAGUUCUAGGUAAGUUAUUAGGAUUUUUCUUUCCAUAUUCUAUCCACCAAACAGAAGCAAAAUAUGUAAAUUCACUAGUAGCAGCCCUAACACGUGUAGUCUCAGGAAAUUCAUGAUAUGCAAACUUUUGAUCAACUGCAAUCUGCCAAGUGAUGUAAGCAUCAGGGUCAUAUUUACCAUCAAAAGGAGGUAUCUUAAAUUUAAUCUUACUGAAAGCAUCAUCAUUAUUGUGUACCUCGCGUCGGCGGUUGCCACCCAUACCUCUACGGUUGUGACGAAGGCGACGUCGAUCACGAGUGUCUUGAUCAUCAUGUUCAGUAUCACCAGUGUAGUCAUCUUCAUGACUACCGUGCUCUCGAUCUCCCUCCUUUUCUUCUUUAUGCUUCUCUUUAUCUUCGGUGUGGAAAUCAUCAAAUCGCCUUAGGAGAGCAGCAAGGCUUUUGUCCACACUAGCAACGGAUUCCUCCAAACUUGUGAGCUUGUUGUUUGUGGCAAUCUGCGUAGCCUCCAACUGCCCCAGCUUUUCAUUUGUCACCUGCAAGUCGUUAUCAAGUCCCUCUGUGUGCAGCUUCACUUUCCUUUCAAAAUGUUGUAUGAUGCCCUUAGUGCGAGGUGUAUGUGGUGUUUCGUUACCAUCAUCUGCCCCUGGCAUGGUUCAAAGACAAAGACAACAAAAAGGCAAGUGAAGAAAUAAAAGCUCUACAACUACUAGGAUGUAGCUACAGCAAGUCGCUCACACUCAAAAGCUCUACAACUACUAGGAUGUAGCUACAACAAGUCGCUCACACUCAACCUGUAACACAAGUUCUUACCAAUUCUUACCUUGCUUGACAGGAGGGGUCGUCUGCCAUCAAGUGUACAGCAAUGGACGAAGUGUAUCGGUGCUGCAGCACAAGACCUGUCAAGCUGUAGAGUAUGUGGAGCUAUAGGUGGGCUGAAACAAGGAACGAACUAGCACCACGUUAGUUAUAAAAGCGAGCUGAAUAAGCGUUCGACGAUGGUACUGUGCUGGUCCUAGGCUAAGACCGUGCUAGAGACGCGAGCCUGGACACAAAGGAAAACCACAGCACACCCCCAAAAACAAGGUGGAACAAACCUAAAAUCAAUAUGAAAAACAGCCCCUUUUUUUUCUUUUGAAUCUUUUCUCUUUUCUUUUUUUUUGGGCAACCUCAAAAACUGAUUAUAUGAACAAAAGAAUACAAAAGAGCAAUUCGCUACACACACUUUUUACUCUCUCUCUCUCUCUAGAGUAAGGCCGAACAAGUAUGGAGUUAUCUUUCUUUUUGGAUCACGGAAGGACUCACAUAGACGGAGUUCAGGCUAUAUUAACAAGUGGACUCCAAGUUCUAUUCGGUUUCCACUCAGAACCAACCACAAAACGGAUUCCACCUAUUGCCGAGUUCUACUCGGUUUCCUUCUUUUUUUUAUCACGUUGGUGGAACUCAGAUUGGAACUCUACUCGAUCCGGACCAAGACCACAGUUCAAUUCGGACUUCGCAACAGAUUCGAUAGAGAGAAGAUAUGGUAAUACUCGGUUGUGUAUAGAUGGUGACAAGAACUCAAAACUCUAAAGGACUAGACACUAAGACCAGCAACUCGACACGAACCGAAGCAAUGCAAAUUCAACAAGCCCUAACUAAAACGGUACUAGCCAAGGCACAGAGGUUUAAUAGGAUUAUGGAAAAACUAAUCUACUAUAUUUUUUUGGCUUUUCUGGACUAUAGGAAAUUAGUUAAAAACAGCAAAGGAUUAGAAGUCUCUCACCGAAGAACCUUGUUCUGAUUACCAACUGAAUCUGAAUCAACAAUGGGGUUCUGAAGACAAGGAGACGGGCGGCUGAUCCUGCACGCGCGCCUACAAGCAAGUAGCGAAGGCUAAACUUGAUCUAAA